rnacentral:rRNA from 1 species
AGCCAGGAGGUUGGCUUAGAAGCAGCCAUCCUUUAAAGAGUUCGUAACAGAUCACUGGUCAAGGGUUUCCGCACGGAAAAUAAACGGGGCUUAAGCACACCACCGAAGCUGCGGAUCUAUUCCAUUUAUUUGGAGUGGGUGGUAGGGGAGCGUUCUCAAUGCGCCGAAGUUAGGCUGUAAGGCCUGGUGGAGCGUUGAGAAGUGAGUAUGUUGGCAUAAGUAGCGUCAAUGUCGGUGAGAAUCCGACACGCCGAAAGUCUAAGGUUUCCUACGCAACGCUGAUCGACGUAGGGUUAGGCGGGCCUAAGGUGUAGCCGAAUGGCGAAGCCGAUGGACAGCAGGUCAAAAUUCCUGCCCCGUCUUAAACUUGUUUGAACUAUGGAGGGGACGCGGACUGAUAAGUAACGCAUGCCUAUUGGAUAUGGUGUGUGCAUUUCUGUAAGUGAGUGACGGGAGGUAAAAAGCUCGUCAUGUCUGAGCUGAGGGACGUGCGAACCAUGAGGUUAUCCUCAUGGAACGUUGCCGAUUCUAUGCCGCCUAGAAAAGCCUCGAUAAUUAGAGUUUAAGUCGUCCGUACCGCAAACCGACACUGGUAGACAGGGAUAAAUGUCCCAAGGCGUUCGAGACAACCAUCGUUAAGGAACUCGGCAAAUUAACCCCGUAACUUCGGAAGAAGGGGAGCCUCUGAUGUAAUAGGACUUGCUCCGAAAGCAUUAGUGGCCGCAGAGAAUAGGUUCGAGCGACUGUUUAUCAAAAACACAGGUCCGUGCUAAACCGAAAGGUGAUGUAUACGGGCUGACGCCUGCCCAGUGCCGGUAGGUUAAGGGAGGAGGUGAGAGCUUCCGACUGAAGCCCCGGUGAACGGCGGCCGUAACUAUAACGGUCCUAAGGUAGCGAAGUCCCUUGUCGGGUAAGUUCCGACCCGCACGAAUGGCGUAACGACUUGAACACUGUCUCAACGAUGGACUCGGUGAAAUUGCAGGACCCGUAAAGAUGCGGGUUACGCGCAGCAGGACAAAAAGACCCCGUGGAGCUUUACUGCAGCUUGACAUUGGUUCGAGCUUUAACCUGUGUAGGAUAGGCGGGAGACUAUGAAUUAGAUGCGCCAGCAUUUAAGGAGUCGCCCUUGAAAUACCGCCCUGAUUACAGUUUGAAUCUAACUUUUACUAGAACAGUGUCUGGUGGGCAGUUUGACUGGGGCGGUCGCCUCCCAAAGAGUAACGGAGGCGCACAAAGGUCACCUCAGGCUGGAUGGAAAUCAGCCUUAGAGCGUAUUGGUAUAAGGUGGCUUGACUGCGAGACAUACAAGUCGAGCAGGGACGAAAGUCGGUCAAAGUGAUCCCACGGUACCGUGUGGAAGGGCCGUGGCUUAACGGAU